rnacentral:piRNA from 1 species
UCCCAACUACCAUAGCUAGACAUAUGCCUC